GAGGUGUAUGUUGGCUGUAGUUGGUUCACUAUAGAAGUAGGGUGCGCACCUAGAUGGGAUCUAUCAAUCUUGAUAGAUAAAAAAUUAUUCUAUGUUAUUCAUGAGACUGAGUUCAGAAGACCAUGAUCAUGGCAGAGUGAAUCAUGAAAAUUUUUUUUUGUAGGAUUUCACUUAUGAACUCAAGUCGAUUGAAUAUUACAUAUGACAAGUGAUGAGGUUUGAUGAGUUAUCCAUGAUCUCUAUCUUAUCGGGACCCACG
rnacentral:lncRNA from 1 species